ensembl:snRNA U6 U6 spliceosomal RNA
GUGUUUCCUCAUUAUAAAAACUUUGGCAGCACAUGUACUAAAAUUGGAAAGAUACAGAUAUUAGCAUGGCCCCUCAACAAGGAUGACAUACAAAUUUGCAAAACAUUUCAUAUUUUU